UACGUAGGGGGCAAGCGUUGUCCGGAUUUAUUGGGCGUAAAGAGCGUGUAGGCGGCCAUACAGGUCCGUUGUGAAAACUCGAGGCUCAACCUCGAGACGUCGAUGGAAACCGUAUGGCUAGAGUCCGGAAGAGGAGAGUGGAAUUCCUGGUGUAGCGGUGAAAUGCGCAGAUAUCAGGAAGAACACCGGUGGCGAAGGCGGCUCACUGGCUCAUUACUGACGCUCAUGCGCGACAGCGUGGGGAUCAAACAGG
rnacentral:rRNA from 1 species